AUCUAAUUUUUGACAAAGAUUUUACAUUGAGCUGGUAGAUAAAUAACUGCGACUGGAGAGCAUUCUAAGGGGAAAACUUCAAAAAUGCCCUGCAAAGUUAGUUGUCUUGAAGGCUACGAGUUUUAUAAUCCUUUUCCCUCCCACAUUUAUUUUAUGUCUACAGAAGACAAUAAAACAUCGUUUCCUCCAUCAGACUUCAGGAAGAUGAGAAGGAAAGAAGCACAGGAGUGCUGAGAGCAUGAGAAAUUGGAGGGUUUGAGAAAGAGAUCAGAAGAGAGGAUACACAACAGCAAGGAAAAGGAUAGCGAGAAAACUAAGAACAACAAAUGGUGCCCAGGCUGUGGAGGAAGAAGAACCCGCAUCACUGUGGGUGGUUGUAAACUGGUCCAGC
rnacentral:lncRNA from 1 species